rnacentral:rRNA from 1 species
UGUGUAGGCGGUUGUUUAAGUUUGGUGUGAAAUCUCCCGGCUCAACUGGGAGGGUGCGCCGAAUACUGAAUGACUAGAGUGCGGGAGAGGAAAGUGGAAUUCCUGGUGUAGCGGUGAAAUGCGUGGAUAUCAGGAGGAGCACCGGUGGUGUAGACGGCUUUCUGGACCGUAACUGACGCUGAGACACGAAAGCGUGGGUAGCAAGCAGGAUUAGAUACCCUGGUAGUCCACGCCCUAAACGAUGCAUAUUUGGUGUGGGCAGUUCAUUCUGUCCGUGCCGGAGCUAACGCGUUAAAUAUGCCGCCUGGGGAGUACAGUCGCAAGGCUGAA